CCACGCCCGCUCAGAAACGUUAAAGGAAUUCGACGGGACCCCGCACAAGCGGUGGAUCAUUGUGUUUUAAUUCGAUGAUACGCGAAGAACCUUACCAGGUCUUGACAUCCCCCGCGAUGCUUUAGAGAUAAAGCGGAGGUAUUCGGGGAGACAGGUGGUGCAUGGUUGUCGUCAGCUCGUGUCGUGAGAUGUUGGGUUAAGUCCCGCAACGAGCGCAACCCCUAUUGCUAGUUACCAUCAUUAAGUUGGGGACUCUAGCGAGACUGCCAGUGAUAAACUGGAGGAAGGUGGGGAUGACGUCAAAUCAUCAUGCCCCUUAUGACCUGGGCUACAAACGUGAUACAAUGGCUGGAACAAAGGGAUGCGAAGCAGUGAUGUGGAGCGAAACCCAUAAAAACAGUCUCAGUUCGGAUUGAAGUCUGCAACUCGACUUCAUGAAGUCGGAAUCGCUAGUAAUCGCGGAUCAGAACGCCGCGGUGAAUACGUUCUCGGGGUUU
rnacentral:rRNA from 1 species